GACCAUCUUUAUGCAGUGGGCAACAUCAACCCUGAUGUAACAGGGAGGAAGUUUUGCAGACUGGUUCCCAAGUAGCACACGGAAGCAUUCAUCAAUGUAUGACUUCAGGUUAGAAAGAGGAGUGAAGGCCUUCACCAGAGCACCAAGAAUAGCCAGGGAAAAGUCACUCACAGCUUCCCUUGCAUUUGUACCACUGGGACUGAGCAGUUGUCUCCCCUCAGAACACCUUGAUAUAAGAAGAUGUGGCCAGAUGUACCAUUUGGUCGUGCCAGUUUUCUGACAACUGAACCAGUUGCAUCAAAGCAAACUACUGAGGGACAUUUUUUGGUUGCCAGGUUUGGAAGGUGACUUGGCUCGGGAUCUCCAAUAUCCAUCAACUCUGAUGCCUUUGCUGACCUCCAUACAGCUGGUUCCAUCCUACCCUCACACAACUCUUUUGAAACCUGUGCAUGAAGGGUUCCUGACAUGAAUCUUUUGGACUGGCCAGUGUGCAGGGAGAUGUCGGCACCUUGGAUGGAGCACUGGAGCACCAUUGGGCUGUUGACCGUUGGCUCUCUGUCACAUGUCAUUUUAACAUGGCCUUGACACUCUUUACAGAAGCCUUUGAUAUCAAUGUACUUACUAGUGACAGUUGGAUAAACCUUUGCUCUUUGGAAUACAAAUGUACAUGUGCUUUUCAACUUUUUCCAAACCAGAUCAUUAAUUAUGUGACUCCAAGUGCCAGGUUUUAAAAUUGUGUAUUCCCUUUUGCCAGAUGAUGAAAACUUGUUAUUGUAUUCAACUCUUUCUGGUAUAAAUUUAAUCCAUUCUUCAAAUGGAACUUCAAGCUGAAAAUCUGUAAAUUGUCCAGUAGAAGUUGUGUCUGAGUCAAACUCUGUGUC